CAAUACGCUACUUGUAAAGCACUCCCGUCUGUUAAAACGUAGUGAUAGUGAUUAUGUUCUCUACUUUGACUUGGAAUUAAUAAAAUAAAUAGAAAAUUAAAUGCAAAUCUAAAAUAUUGUUUAAAAAAAAAAAAAUUAGUACACCUUAAAAUGUAAUCAUAGUAGAGUAUCAGUGCCGAGUGAAUCUUUUUUCUCAAUAUUUAAUUAUUUAUUCUAGUUAUUAAGAAACAAAAAGUUAAGUGUUAAAGUUGUAUAUCAUGUAAAUGUGAGACAAUCAAAGAUACCGCGCUACAAUGAUGAGUGACAGUGAUCUCCGGGCGCAAGAAAUCAAUGCAACAAACCUAAAAGAGGUCGAAGCACGCGCCCUGCACGACCGGCUCGUGGCGUACGCGCACUUCGUGGCCGGAGAUCCGGAGAGCCGGUCGGGCGUGUGCUGCGAGCACUCGUACGCACGCGUGCGCGAGACGGGGGGUGCGUGUG